rnacentral:rRNA from 1 species
CCUACGGGUGGCAGCAGUGGGGAAUAUUGGGCAAUGGGCGCAACCCUGACCCAGCAACGCCGCGUGAAGGAAGAAGGAUUUCGGGUUGUAAACUUCUUUUGUCAGGGACGAAACAAGUGACGGUACCUGACUAAUAAGCCACGGCUAACUACGUGCCAGCAGCCGCGGUAAUACGUAGGGGGCAAGCGUUAUCCGGAUUUACUGGGUGUAAAGGGCGCGUAGGCGGGACUGCAAGUCAGAUGUGAAAGCCACGGGCUCAACCCGUGGCCUGCAUUUGAAACUGUAGUUCUAGAGUACUGGAGAGGCAGGUGGAAUUCCUAGUGUAGCGGUGAAAUGCGUAGAUAUUAGGAGGAACACCAGUGGCGAAGGCGGUCUGCUGGACUGUAACUGACGCUGAGGCGCGAAAGCGUGGGGAGCAAACAGGAUUAGAUACCCCAGUAGUC